CAGGCCUAACACAUGCAAGUCGAGCGGGCAUUUCGGUGUCAGCGGCGGACGGGUGAGUAACGCGUGGGAACGUACCUUCUGGUCUGGAAUAACCCAGGGAAACUUGGGCUAAUACCGGAUACGCCCUUUGGGGGAAAGGUUUACUGCCGGAAGAUCGGCCCGCGUCUGAUUAGCUAGUUGGUGGGGUAACGGCCUACCAAGGCGACGAUCAGUAGCUGGUCUGAGAGGAUGAUCAGCCACACUGGGACUGAGACACGGCCCAGACUCCUACGGGAGGCAGCAGUGGGGAAUAUUGGACAAUGGGCGCAAGCCUGAUCCAGCCAUGCCGCGUGAGUGAUGACGGCCUUAGGGUUGUAAAGCUCUUUCGCACGCGACGAUAAUGACGGUAGCGUGAGAAGAAGCCCCGGCUAACUUCGUGCCAGCAGCCGCGGUAAU
rnacentral:rRNA from 1 species